GGGCCGGUAGUUCAGAGGUAGAACACCCGCUUGGCGUGCGGGGGGUCGUGGGUUCGAGUCCCACCCGGUCCA
rnacentral:tRNA from 1 species